rnacentral:rRNA from 1 species
UAGUCCACGCCGUAAACGUUGUGUGCUUGGUGUGGGAGGAUUCAACCCCUUCCGGAUCGUAGCUAACGUGUUAAGCACACCGCCUGGGGACUACGGCCGCAAGGCUAAAAACUCAAAAGGAAUUGACGGGGGCCCGCACAAGCGGUGGAGCAUGUGGCUUAAUUCGAGGCAACGCGAAGAACCUUACCCGGGUUUGACAUAUAACUGCCGGCCUGUGAAAGCAGGCUUUCCUUCGGGACAGUUAUACAGGUGCUGCAUGGCUGUCGUCAGCUCGUGUCGUGAGAUGUUCGGUUAAGUCCGGCAACGAGCGCAACCCGUGUUGUUAGUUGCUACCAGGUAAUGCUGGGCACUCUAACGAGACUGCCCGUGUUAAGCGGGAGGAAGGCACGGACGACGUCAAGUCAGUAUGGCCCUUAUAUCCGGGGCUGCACACGUGCUACAAUGGCCGGUCCAAUGAGUGGCGAUAUCGCGAGGUAGAGCAAAUCUCCAAAGCCGGCCCCAGUUCAGAUUGCAGU